GAUGAAGAACGUAGCGAAAUGCGAUAAGUAAUGUGAAUUGCAGAAUUCAGUGAAUCAUCGAAUCUUUGAACGCACAUUGCGCCCGCUAGUAUUCUGGCGGGCAUGCCUGUCCGAGCGUCAUUUCAACCCUCAAGCCCCCGGGCUUGGUGUUGGGGAUCGGCGAGCCUCCGCGCCCGCCGUCCCCUAAAUCUAGUGGCGGUCUCGCUGUAGCUUCCUCUGCGUAGUAUCACACCUCGCACUGGGAAACAGCGCGGCCACGCCGUUAAACCCCCAACUUCUGAACGUUUGACCUCGGAUCAGGUAGGAAUACCCGCUGAACUUAAGCAUAUCAAUAUGCGGAGGA
rnacentral:misc_RNA from 1 species